ACAAAAAGUAUCUGUUGACAUUUGGGAACAGUAAGAAAAUAUGAAAAACACCAAACAAAUUUAUUUUAAGUAAGUCUUAAGUUAAAAGAUUGUAAUAGAACCUUUUCCAAUUGAAACAUCGAAAAUAAGGACACAAUAAAGUUUAAUAUUAUAACUUUAUAUGUGUAAGUGAAAAACCCAAGGGAUAGUUAGGACUGCUGGCCCUUCGUCCCGCCCAUUUAACCGCCCACCAACGAGUGUCGCCUCCUGCUGAUGUUGCUGCCGCUAAGACCCCAUAAAUAACAACAAUUUAGCAUUUACAAGUGACGCAGUAAAAAAUUUAUAUGCUCUCGCACAUUUUCAAUUUUCUGCAAUUUUUCUAGCAAUUGUGUGAAAUUCCUUGCGGCUAUUGGGCAGAGGCAGUCAGAUGAGGGCAGCCGGGGACGGGUGGACGGGGAUGGGAGAGAAAACGUUGCAUGCAGCAGGCAGGACAUGGACAUAGACAGAUUUGUUUAUGCAUGGAAUUUUCAGCUGCUGCUGCUGUUGCUGCUUUUACUUGGCCAUGGUCAAGCACAUUUCUGGCAUUUGAUAGCAUAGCUUGUCCAGGAAUUUUUGCAUUCAACAAUAUUUCAUUGAAUUUACAUGCCCAAUGUGUAGUAGACCAUUCGCCCCCUUUCCAUAUUUCGAUAUAACCAUUAAUAAACGCACAGGCACUUCAAAAGUUGGCUCUGUCACAUAAAAUUCAAUUUAGUGGCAACAAAAGAAGACACCAACAACAACAAAAAAAAAAAAGGCCAGCAACCCCUCGACAUUGAGCUUAGCAGAGAGAUGCACAUUAGCAUGAGAGGAGUUACAGGUUACGCACUUUAUGCCCCCCAAAAGAAACUCGAAAACUGAAACUGAAAUCAAAAUAAAUGUCAACGCGUUGCCCGUCAAGGACCGAGCGACAUUUCGCCCUUUUCA